rnacentral:rRNA from 1 species
UGUUUUUAAAUUAUAUUUUAUUUUUUUAAUUUUUAUUUUUGAGGUAGAAUUGGAAAAUAUAUAAGAUUUUUGGUAUAAUUUAUAAGAUUUUUUUGAUGAACCAGAUUAGUACCUGGGUAAAAAAAAUUUAAUAGAGCAGGAGUAAAGUUUUAUUUAAACUGAAAGAAUAUUGGCAGGCUUUUUAAAUUAUCUUUGGAGGUUGGACUGUAAUUGAGAACCCUCAUUAUUAACUUUAAUUUUAGUUAUAUGUAUGAUCGUUUAUUUUAUUGUUAGGGAUUGUAAGUAAAAAUUUUUUUAAUUAUAAAAAUAGAUAAAUACUUGGUUUAUAUUAAAGGUUGCUCUGACCUACAAUAAAUUGAUAUUGUGGAUUAAUAAUUUGAUAUUUAUUAUGAAAAUGUAAAAGACAGUAAAUUAU